AACGAACGCUGGCGGCAUGCCUAACACACGCAAGUCGAACGAGACCUUCGGGUCUAGUGGCGCACGGGUGCGUAACGCGUGGGAACCUGCCCUUAGGUUCGGAAUAACUCCCCGAAAGGGGUGCUAAUACCGGAUAAUGUCUUCGGACCAAAGAUUUAUCGCCUUUGGAUGGGCCCGCGUUGGAUUAGCUAGUUGGUAGGGUAAAAGCCUACCAAGGCGACGAUCCAUAGCUGGUCUGAGAGGAUGAUCAGCCACACUGGGACUGAGACACGGCCCAGACUCCUACGGGAGGCAGCAGUGGGGAAUAUUGGACAAUGGGCGAAAGCCUGAUCCAGCAAUGCCGCGUGAGUGAUGAAGGCCUUAGGGUUGUAAAGCUCUUUUACCCGGGAUGAUAGUGACAGUACCGGGAGAAUAAGCUCCGGCUAACUCCGUG
rnacentral:rRNA from 1 species